AGGACGAACGCUGGCGGCGUGCCUAACACAUGCAAGUCGAACGCGCUCCAUUCGGUAGCAAUACUGAUGAAGAGCGAGUGGCGAACGGGUGAGUAGCACGUGAGCAACCUGCCCCGAAGACUGGGACAACACCGGGAAACCGGUGCUAAUACCGGAUAUCCCUAUCGGACCGCAUGAUCUGAUAAGGAAAUGGAUUCCGCUUCGGGAGGGGCUCGCGGCCUAUCAGCUAGUUGGUGGGGUAAUGGCCCACCAAGGCAUCGACGGGUAGCUGGUCUGAGAGGACGAUCAGCCACACUGGGACUGAGACACGGCCCAGACUCCUACGGGAGGCAGCAGUGGGGAAUCUUGCGCAAUGGGCGAAAGCCUGACGCAGCAACGCCGCGUGGAGGACGAAGGCUUUCUGAGUUGUAAACUCCUUUCAGCAGGGACGAUAGUGACGGUACCUGCAGAAGAAGCACCGGCCAACUACGCGCCAGCAGCGUA
rnacentral:rRNA from 1 species